CGUAAAGCAGACCCACCCGCUCCGUUCUUCCCUCCUCCUCCAGAUAGAGAACACUUUUGUUCUGUGUUUUCAUCAGGAAACCAGUGAAUCGAGGGCGAGGGACAGCGUGACAGAAGCAGGAGAGACGCUUCAGUGUAAACGUGAGAUUCUGCUCUUCAUUCUGCUGGUUUCUCGUCAGUGUUUGUGACAGACGUCACAUCUCUCUUCUGCAGGUCCGUCAUGCCCUGGUCAACACGUGUCGCUCUUCUGAUGCUCCUCAUUGGUCAGAUUUCCGCAGGACCAGAGACGAGCAGCAGCUCAAACCCCUGUCAGGACCAGAAGGCUCUUCAUGAGCGAAUGGACAGCGUAGAGAAGCGGCUGGAUGACGGCGUUCAGAAGCUGCAGGCUGAACUGGCGCUUCUGCUGGAGGCGGUGGAAGCACGUGAGUGGAGCCCCCUGCUGGACGAGCCGCGCAUAGACAUACUGGACGAGCCUCCUGCACCGUGAUCCUGCUGAUCAUCACAGGUCACAACAAACACAUCCGCCUCAUAUAUGGUGUGAAUCUGAGCAGACGGCAGGAGAUCAUGUUUAUAUAGAAGCAGGAGAGAGAAAACAUCUUGUUGCUUCGCUGACAUUUCAAUCCCUCACAUGAUACAGAAACACACACUGUGAAAUCUUCACACACACAUACUGUAUUUAGAAAUAAACAGACACAAGAGCACGUUAAUACUUUAUUCAUACUUUAAUGAUCGUCAAAACAAUCUAUGGGUUGCCAAAAUAUUCAAGAGAAUCUAUGUUUACGUACAGUAUCAUGCCGUCCACAUUACAAUGGAAAACAAGGUUAAAGUCAGUCGUCUGGUCUUCAUCGAUCAGUCCUAAAGGAUUCAUUAGAGACUGAGCAGAAACUGGACUCAUCCGUGCAAAAACACACAUCAUCUGAUAUGAAUCAAACACACACACACACGCUUCUGCCCGAAUCCUCGAUUCACUGGAACAUGCAGGACUUCAGAUUCACCACUGAAUCUUUCACACCUCGGACUAAAUGUAACUUUUUAUAGCAUUUCAAAAACAUUCCAUGAUUUUACUUAUUACAAUAAAUGCUUGUUUACAAAUGUUA